UACGUAGGGUGCAAGCGUUAAUCGGAAUUACUGGGCGUAAAGCGUGCGCAGGCGGUUGUGUAAGACAGAUGUGAAAUCCCCGGGCUCAACCUGGGAACUGCAUUUGUGACUGCACAGCUGGAGUGCGGCAGAGGGGGAUGGAAUUCCGCGUGUAGCAGUGAAAUGCGUAGAUAUCUGGAGGAACACCGGUGGCGAAGGCGGCAUCCUGGACCGACACUGACGCUGAGGAGCGAAAGCCAGGGGAGCAAACGGG
rnacentral:rRNA from 1 species